rnacentral:rRNA from 1 species
CAAGGUCUCCGUUGGUGAACCAGCGGAGGGAUCAUUACUGAGUUAUCAAAACUCCAAACCCUUUGUGAACCUUACCGUCGUUGCCUCGGCGUGAGCUACGGCUACCCUGUAACUACCCUGGAGCUACCCUAGAGUUACCCUAUAGCUACCCUGCACUUACGCUGCAGCUACCCUAUAGCUACCCUGGAGCUACCCUGGAGCUACCCUGUAGUCGGCUUCGGCCCGCCGAAGGACCGUUAAACUCUUGUUUUUACCACUGUUUCUCUGAAUUUUAAACUAAAAUAAGUUAAAACUUUCAACAACGGAUCUCUUGGUUCUGGCAUCGAUGAAGAACGCAGCGAAAUGCGAUAAGUAAUGUGAAUUGCAGAAUUCAGUGAAUCAUCGAAUCUUUGAACGCACAUUGCGCCCAUUAGUAUUCUAGUGGGCAUGCCUAUUCGAGCGUCAUUUCGACCCUUAAGCCCCUGUUGCUUAGCGUUGGGAAUCUACGGCGUAGUUCCUCAAAGUUAGUGGCGGAGUUAGGGUACACUCUCAGCGUAGUAAUUUCUCUCGCUCGUGUGGUGGCCCUGGCUGCUAGCCGUUAAAACCCCUAUAUUUUCUAGUGGUUGACCUCGGAUUAGGUAGGAAUACCCGCUGAACUUAAGCA